GGGACCUGCGGAGGGAUCAUUACACAACAAAAUAUGAAGGCCUGGCUUCGCGGCCGGCUGAAAUAUUUUUUUCACCCAUGUCUUUUGCGCACUUGUUGUUUCCUGGGCGGGUUCGCCCGCCACCAGGACCAAACCAUAAACCUUUUUUUUAUGCAGUUGCAAUCAGCGUCAGUAAAAACAAUGUAAUUAUUACAACUUUCAACAACGGAUCUCUUGGUUCUGGCAUCGAUGAAGAACGCAGCGAAAUGCGAUACGUAGUGUGAAUUGCAGAAUUCAGUGAAUCAUCGAAUCUUUGAACGCACAUUGCGCCCUUUGGUAUUCCAAAGGGCAUGCCUGUUCGAGCGUCAUUUGUACCUUCAAGCUUUGCUUGGUGUUGGGCGUUUUUUGUCUCCCUCUUUCUGGGAGACUCGCCUUAAAACGAUUGGCAGCCGGCCUACUGGUUUCGGAGCGCAGCACAUAUUUUGCGCUUUGUAUCAGGAGAAAAGGACGGUAAUCCAUCAAGACUCUACAUUUUUAACUUUUGACCUCGGAUCAGGUAGGGAUACCCGCUGAACUUAAGCAUAUCAAUAG
rnacentral:rRNA from 1 species